rnacentral:rRNA from 1 species
UUCCUACGGGACGCAGCAGUGGGGGAUAUUGCACAAUGGGGGAAACCCUGAUGCAGCGACGCCGCGUGGGUGAAGAAGCGCCUCGGCGCGUAAAGCCCUGUCAGCAGGGAAGAAAAUGACGGUACCUGAAGAAGAAGCCCCGGCUAACUACGUGCCAGCAGCCGCGGUAAUACGUAGGGGGCAAGCGUUAUCCGGAUUUACUGGGUGUAAAGGGAGCGUAGACGGUAUGGCAAGUCUGAUGUGAAAACCCGGGGCUCAACCUCGGGACUGCAUUGGAAACUGUCGGACUAGAGUGUCGGAGAGGG